GCCAGCAGCCAUUUCAUCCUGCAGCUCACAGCUCACUGAAGCUCAGCAGGUGUGAGCCUGGUCAGUACCUGGAUGGGAGACUCCUGGGAAAGCUGAGGCUGCUGCUGGAA
rnacentral:rRNA from 1 species